rnacentral:misc_RNA from 1 species
CCUGGAGCAAUUGGGCAAACAACAGAUUUCAAGGAGGCAAAUAAGAGACUUGAAUGGGGACUAAAAAAGAUUGUUGGUGGAUCUGAACAUCCAUUGCGCGCAAAGCUGGCAUUUUCACAGGAAUUGCAUGGGAAUAUCUCAAAAGAGGCUGGUAGCAUGACAUUCACAAUACCAAUGUACAAUGCUUCUAGGCUUCAGGCCACCUUAAUCAUAUUAUGCCUUUGGGCUCUAGCUACAACUACUUCGUCCCCACCCACUGCUUGUUUGCUGGGCCAUUGCUCUGUGGUCAAGGCCAGGAUGCCUGGGUUUUGGCAGUAACUUCACAACAUUACCUGGAAAUGGUAUUGUAUAUCGUGUUCAAACUCUUAGACACGAAUCAGA